UACGAAGGGGGCUAGCGUUGUUCGGAAUUACUGGGCGUAAAGGGCGCGUAGGCGGUCUGAUAAGUUAGAUGUGAAAUUCCCGGGCUUAACCUGGGGGUUGCAUUUGAUACUGUCAGGCUUGAAUCCAGGAGAGGAUAGUGGAAUUCCCAGUGUAGAGGUGAAAUUCGUAGAUAUUGGGAAGAACACCAGUGGCGAAGGCGGCUAUCUGGACUGGUAUUGACGCUGAGGCGCGAAAGCGUGGGGAGCAAACGGG
rnacentral:rRNA from 1 species